UCUGCUCAUGUCAUUUGCAUUUUUCUUCUUUCUUUUUCUUUCUUUUUUAUCCUUUUUUUUUCCUAA
rnacentral:ribozyme from 14 species